rnacentral:rRNA from 1 species
AACGAACGCUGGCGGCAUGCCUAACACAUGCAAGUCGAACGAAGCCUUCGGGCUUAGUGGCGCACGGGCGCGUAACACGUGGGAAUCUGCCCUUUGGUUCGGAAUAACAGUUAGAAAUGACUGCUAAUACCGGAUAAUGACGUAAGUCCAAAGAUUUAUCGCCGAAGGAUGAGCCCGCGUAGGAUUAGGUAGUUGGUGGGGUAAUGGCCCACCAAGCCGACGAUCCUUAGCUGGUCUGAGAGGAUGAUCAGCCACACUGGGACUGAGACACGGCCCAGACUCCUACGGGAGGCAGCAGUGGGGAAUAUUGGACAAUGGGCGAAAGCCUGAUCCAGCAAUGCCGCGUGAGUGAUGAAGGCCUUAGGGUUGUAAAGCUCUUUUACCAGGGAUGAUAAUGACAGUACCUGGAGAAUAAGCUCCGGCUAACUCCGUGCCAGCAGCCGCGGUAAU